ACGAACGCUGGCGGCGUGCUUAACACAUGCAAGUCGAACGGAAAGGCCCUGCUUUUGUGGGGUGCUCGAGUGGCGAACGGGUGAGUAACACGUGAGAACCUGCCCUUGACUUUGGGAUAACUUCAGGAAACUGGGGCUAAUACCGGAUAGGAGCUCCUGCUGCAUGGUGGGGGUUGGAAAGUUUCGGCGGUUGGGGAUGGACUCGCGGCUUAUCAGCUUGUUGGUGGGGUAGUGGCUUACCAAGGCUUUGACGGGUAGCCGGCCUGAGAGGGUGACCGGCCACAUUGGGACUGAGAUACGGCCCAGACUCCUACGGGAGGCAGCAGUGGGGAAUAUUGCACAAUGGGCGGAAGCCUGAUGCAGCAACGCCGCGUGCGGGAUGACGGCCUUCGGGUUGUAAACCGCUUUCGCCUGUGACGAAGCGUGAGUGACGGUAAUGGGUAAAGAAGCACCGGCUAACUACGUG
rnacentral:rRNA from 1 species